rnacentral:tRNA from 1 species
GUGGCCGAAUGGUUACGCUGUCCGCUUUGUAAGCGGAUGAUCAUGGGUUCGAUUCCCAUC